rnacentral:lncRNA from 1 species
UCUCUCUCCUCAUAUCUCUUUCUCUAAUUGUCACCCCCCUUGGUGUGAAAAACCUUAUCCACCAUCUAGGGUUCAAGGGAGGAUGCCCAAACCCUAGUGCCCUUCACCAAGAAACCCUAGCACCAAGCCCUAGUUGGUGCCCCCCUCAUGUGGCCGCCAUAUCCCCUAGUUGGACACCCCUUUUUGGGUGAUUGCUGUUGGUUCUAGAUCUCCACAGGUCUUAAGAAGGUGUUCCAAUAGUUGGUAGCAGAGCAGGGUUCGUGCGGAAAGCAAGAAGAAGCUAGGAGCAGC